UAAUCUCACCUAAAGUCACCGAAAUGGCAUCAGUCGGCUCUGAACACAGGUUAACUAAGUAAAACAAAGGCUCCAAACCUCAGUCACAGUUGUCAAAAUUAUUUCCUUCCUGAUCUUGCCAUAGAUCAGGUGAAGUGCAUCAAUUCUUCUUGCAGCAGAACACUCACAUGACAUGAUGAUGCCACCAUUGCACUUCACAGUUGCAGGCUUCUCCCUUCUUUGACCAAAUGCAAAGAUGUGGCACAGAGGGGUGGAGAAUCUGGGUGGAUGACAACAACACCAGGAGAAGCUUCUACAUUAAAGAUGCCUUGAUAGCAGCAAACAAGCGGUGCCACUCCACUAGGAGCCUGUCCACCUCAUGGGCUGCCAUAACUGAGGUGCCCCUGGAGGCCAUUUGUGAGUCAGCUUCCUGGAUGGCGCCAAACACCUUUGCCAGGUUCUACAGGGUGAACGUGGCCACGCCCCAUCCCUUACAGGGUGUCCUUGAGCAACCGCCUUCCGCGUCCCGGUGAGUGACUCUGGGAUCCGUGGGGGAAGCCUGACGUCGAGUGAACUCUGCCGCACGGCCUCCCUUAACCUGGAUGGCUGAAAGUCCCGGGGUAUAGAUUUGCAUCAGAUCAGUGGAUUAUCGUCUUGCUCAACACCGGGUGACUCUCAGAGGAUUCAGAGAGUCACCGAGAAGUCAACUCCGAGGUGAGACAGUUUUAAAAUAGAAUAAGCGCUAAGAUAAGAAAAAGACGUUGGUAGUGUGUCGCCGGUAAGGACACUGCAUUGGGAAGGUUUUAUUCCACCGUGAAGGGAAUAGUGACAAAUUAGGUAAGAUCCCGCCUUGAAGGGGAUCAAAUAAAAUGACUAAGGGUUAUUCCCCUGAGAGGGAAUAGAAUAAGCGCUAUAAAAGAAUAAAGAACGGAAUAAAUUGAGCUCAUAAA